AGUGGGGAAUUUUCCGCAAUGGGCGAAAGCCUGACGGAGCAAUACCGCGUGAGGGAGGAAGGCUCUUGGGUUGUAAACCUCUUUUCUCAGGGAAGAACACAAUGACGGUACCUGAGGAAUAAGCAUCGGCUAACUCCGUGCCAGCAGCCGCGGUAAUACGGAGGAUGCAAGCGUUAUCCGGAAUGAUUGGGCGUAAAGCGUCCGCAGGUGGCUAUGUAAGUCUGCUGUUAAAGAGUGAGGCUCAACCUCAUAAGAGCAGUGGAAACUACAUGGCUAGAGUGCGUUCGGGGUAGAGGGAAUUCCUGGUGUAGCGGUGAAAUGCGUAGAUAUCAGGAAGAACACCGGUGGCGAAAGCGCUCUGCUAGGCCGCAACUGACACUGAGGGACGAAAGCUAGGGGAGCGAAUGGGAUUAGAUACCCCAGUAGUCCUAGCCGUAAACGAUGGAUACUAGGCGUGGCUUGUAUCGAC
rnacentral:rRNA from 2 species